rnacentral:tRNA from 1 species
AAAAAUUUAAGUUAAAAAAACUAUUGACCUUCAAAUUCAAAAAUGAGAAAUUUACUCAAUUUUUA